rnacentral:rRNA from 1 species
UACGUAGGGUGCAAGCGUUGUCCGGAAUUAUUGGGCGUAAAGAGCUCGUAGGUGGUUUGUCGCGUUGUUCGUGAAAACUCACAGCUCAACUGUGGGCGUGCGGGCGAUACGGGCAGACUAGAGUACUGCAGGGGAGACUGGAAUUCCUGGUGUAGCGGUGGAAUGCGCAGAUAUCAGGAGGAACACCGGUGGCGAAGGCGGGUCUCUGGGCAGUAACUGACGCUGGAGGAGCGAAAGCCGUGGGGAGCGAACAGG